AGCUCCAAUAGCGUAUAUUAAAGUUGUUGCAGUUAAAAAGCUCGUAGUUGGAUUUCUGGUCGAGUGUCCCUAGGCCGACUUGACGUUUGGUCCUAGGCGCUCUGCCAUCCUUCUGUUAACUCUCGCCUCGUUCGUUCGUGGCGUUAGGGCUCAGAUAUUUUACCUUGAGAAAAUUAGAGUGUUUCAGGCAGGCUUUCGCCGGAAUACAUUAGCAUGGAAUAAUGGAAAAGGACUUCAACCUCUUCUGUUGGUCUGAGAGGAUGUAGUAAUGAUUAAUAGGGAUAGUUGGGGGCAUUAGUACUUAACUGUCAGAGGUGAAAUUCUCCGAUUUGUUAAAGACUAACUUAUGCGAAAGCAUUUGCCAAGGAUGUUUUCAUUA
rnacentral:rRNA from 1 species